AUACGUAGGUGGCGAGCGUUGUCCGGAAUUACUGGGCGUAAAGCGCGCGUAGACGGCUUAGUAAGUCAGAUGUGAAAGACCCGGGCUCAACCUGGGGGCGGCAUCUGAGACUGGUGAGCUUGAGUGCAGGAGAGGCAAGUGGAAUUCCCAGUGUAGCAGUGAAAUGCGUAGAGAUUGGGAGGAACACCAGUGGCGAAGGCGACUUGCUGGACUGUAACUGACGUUGAGGUGCGAAAGCUAGGGGAGCAAACGGGAUUAGAUACCCCGGUAGUCCUAGCCGUAAACGAUGGGUACUAGGUGUGGGAGGUAUCGACCCCUUCCGUGCCGCAGUGAACGCAAUAAGUACCCCGCCUGGGGAGUACGGCCGCAAGGUUGA
rnacentral:rRNA from 1 species